rnacentral:lncRNA from 1 species
UAUUUAUUUAAAAAUUAUUAUUUGAAAGUGGCGAGUAUAUGUUCAGCUUAAUUAGUUUUAUAUAAAAAAAUAAAAUAAAUAAAAAUAAUAAUAAAUAGUUUAAUGGAAAUUUUUAAUAAAUUAAAAUUUUUAAUAAAAUUUUAAAAAUUAAAAGCGCUUACGAAACUUUUGAAUCUUUUAGGCCUACAUAGGUAAUGCGGUGGUUAAAAAUAGUAAUGUUAUAUUAUAGAAGGUUUUAGUAAUUUUUUCGGAUAAAUUGCACGUAUAGUCUUAUAAAUUUAAUUUUUUAUCGGCUUAAAU